rnacentral:rRNA from 1 species
ACGGAAGGCAGCAGUAGGGAAUAUUGCACAAUGGGGGAAACCCUGAUGCAGCAACGCCACGUGUGGGAAGAAGCAUUUCGGUGUGUAAACCACUGUCGUGAGGGAAUAAUGCUUGGCCUCGGCCAAGUUGAAUGUACCUCGAAAGGAAGCACCGGCAAACUUCGUGCCAGCAGCCGCGGUAAUACGAGGGGUGCAAGCGUUGUUCGGAAUCACUGGGCGUAAAGGGAGCGCAGGCGGAGAUGCAAGCAGUCUGUACAAUACCGGGGCCCAACCCCGGACCUGCAGACUGGACUGUUUCUCUUGGAUAGUUCAGGGGCAAUCAGAAUUCCAGGUGUAGGGGUGAAAUCUGUAGAUAUCUGGAAGAAUACCAAUGGCGAAGGCAGCUUGCUGGGGACUAAUCGACGCUCAUGCUCGAAAGUGCGGGUAGCAAACAGGAUUAGAUACCCUGGUA